rnacentral:rRNA from 1 species
GGACUACCCGGGUAUCUAAUCCUGUUUGAUCCCCACGCUUUCGUGCCUCAGUGUCAAUAUAUCAUUAGUAUGCUGCCUUCGCAAUCGACCUUCUGCGCAAUAUCUAUGCAUUUCACCGCUACACUGCGCAUUCCGCAUACUUCAUAAUAAUUCAAGUAUAUCAGUUUCAACGGCACGGGAAAUGUUAAGCAUCUCCUUUUCACCGCUGACUUAAUAAACAACCUACGCACCCUUUAAACCCAAUGAAUCCGGAUAACGCUCGAAUCCUCCGUAUUACCGCGGCGGCUGGCAC